GCACGCCGCAGGGGCGGGGAAAUUGGACUGGUUGGUGACUCUGCUCCGCCUACAUCAUUUUAUUAAUUUGAUGGGUUCGGGUCUGAGCAUCGUCAAUUGAUCUCUCGCACCUGGUUUCUGCGAGGCCUUGCCAGUCUGUGUGUGCAAUUGUUGGUGCCGGGAAGAAGGAGAUUUCGAGGAGGAGUGCACCAGGAUGUGUUACUCGGUGGAAUGCAGCCACUGCGGCAAGACGUCGUGGGCUGGGUGUGGGUUGCACGUGCGAGGAGUGUACAACACAAUUCCCGAUAAGGACAAGGAUUUGUGUCUGUGCAAGGGCUGGCCUGGAGUGGAGCUACCGCCACAUUUGGCCGCCAGGGUUCCUGAGAGUGCCACAGGAAGCGGUUGCCACAUUUUGUGACCUUUUGCAUUAGUGAAUGGAUCGUGGUGGUUGUGCGUGAUCCACAUCGAUCACGCAUUUGUUUCUCAAGCCAUUGGCAGAGCGGACUUCUGCAUGGAAUUGGUCGUAUGGACAUCGCUGUGAAGGAAUGUCAAGGAACUGGACAUUCUCAUUCUGUAGGAGAGAGCAAGAUUGUUGCAAGUAUGUAGAUGACUUGAAGUAUUCAAACCAGUGGAACUUUGUGGAAACGCUCAUGUUGGACGUUCAUUCCUUUUGUUUGCUUAACUUCCAACAUGAACAUCCCUGUUCACAUUAUCUAGGAAGAGCACCGCAGAUACUAGUCUCCUAUUUUUGAGAGAGGCGAGGGAUAAAUUAAAAAAGAAAAAUAAUCCGAUUCCUCAAUGAGGAUCGAGACCAAGAUCCCUCCAUGCCCCAUUAUGAAGAGAUUGAUGAGUCCUUUUAAAUUAUGCAGAGAAAUUCCUCCUUUCUCCAAAACGAAUCGCCAUCUUACUUUCGUAAGGUACCUCCGGUAACAGAAAUUGCUUUCA